UCUAGCCAAGACUAUCAGGGUCCCACUGUCGACCACAGCUUCCGUUAGUGAAAAGGGCGAGAGCAUGCUGCAGAUCUAGUUGUUCCAACUCCCACGUCCGGAAGCGUACUGGAAUAGAUCUGGCCAACCUCCGGAGACCCCGGAGUCAAAUUUGCCCCCCCCCCGAAGAUCUUUGUUUUUGGAAGGGGGACAUGCGGACACCCGGCAAAGUUCCCUCCCUAAGGGUUGGGGCAACUUUGUUUAAAGAUUGAUGGUUCCGGGUUUUGCAAUUUCCGCCCAUGUUGCAAUCUGUAAGUAAAAAAGCGUACAAGGUUUCCGUAGGUGAACCUGCGGAAGGAUCAUUG
rnacentral:rRNA from 1 species